rnacentral:rRNA from 1 species
UACGUAGGCAGCAAGCGUUGUUCGGAAUUACUGGGCGUAAAGCGUGCGUAGGUGGUUCGUUAAGUCCGUUGUGAAAGCCCCGAGCUCAACUUGGGAAUUGCAGUGGAUACUGGCGAGCUGGAGUGCGGUAGAGGAAGGUGGAAUUCCCGGUGUAGCGGUGAAAUGCGUAGAGAUCGGGAGGAACACCAGUGGCGAAGGCGGCCUUCUGGACCAGCACUGACACUCAAGCACGAAAGCGUGGGGAGCAAACAGG